rnacentral:rRNA from 1 species
CGCAUUUAUUAGAUAAAAAGCCAGUUCAUGCUUUUAUAGUAUGAAAAUUGGUGAUUUAUAAUAACUUAGCAAAUCGCAAAGUGAAAACAGGCGAUAAAUCAUUCAAGUUUCUGACCUAUCAGCUUUCGACGGUAUGGUAUUGGCUUACCGUGGCAGUGACGGUUAACGGGGGAUUAGGGUUCGAUUCCGGAGAGGGAGCCUGAGAAACGGCUACCACAUCUAAGGAAGGCAGCAGGCGCGCAAAUUACCCAAUUCUAACAGUUUGAGAGAGGUAGUAACAAGAAAUAACAAUACAAGGCAGUUAAAAUGCUUUGUAAUUGGAAUGAUAGAAAUUUAAACCCUUUUUAAAGUAUCAAUUGGAGGGCAAGUCUGGUGCCAGCAGCCGCGGUAAUUCCAGCUCCAAUAGCGUAUAUUAAAAUUGUUGCAGUUAAAAAGCUCGUAGUUGAAGUUCUGCUGAAAGUAACCGGUCUGCUUUUAAUAAAAGUGGUAUCUUGGUAUGUAUUUAGCAAUGAUGUCCUUUGAAGUGUUUUUUACUUUAUUGUAAUAAAGCAUAUUCAGGACUUUUACUUUGAGAAAAUUAGAGUGUUUCUAGCAGGCUAACGCUUUGAAUACUGCAGCAUGAAAU